GUUUUUUUCUAGUGUAUUGAAAAACUAGGAAGAGCAGAAGCCCGCCUUCUCCUCCAGGUGGCCUCCAGGAGGAACGGAGGGGCAUUUCCAAACAUACAGAUCCCAGAAGGGAUGAAUCAUUCGGCUCAUGUUUCUUUUCCUUUGAGAAAGACUGAGUCAAAGGAAGGGCCAACAACCAACAACAUAACCAUCCCUGCAUGGAAACCCAAAGCCAGAGGACAUUUUCACUUGCUGUGCCUUUUGUUGGGGAUGCUCAGCCCCUGAAUCUUCAUACAGCCAACUCACCAUUCAAGUCCAAGUCCAAGUCUUACUUCAUCUGAGACACAAUCUGAGGUAUUCCCUGUAAAGUUACCUGUCAAGCCUUUAGUCGUUCACGUUUCAUUAUUUUAUUUUUUCAUUACCACUAGCAACUAUCUUU